UUGAACGCUGGCGGCAGGCCUAACACAUGCAAGUCGAACGGUAACAGGAAGAAGCUUGCUUCUUUGCUGACGAGUGGCGGACGGGUGAGUAAUGUCUGGGAAACUGCCUGAUGGAGGGGGAUAACUACUGGAAACGGUAGCUAAUACCGCAUAACGUCGCAAGACCAAAGAGGGGGACCUUCGGGCCUCUUGCCAUCGGAUGUGCCCAGAUGGGAUUAGCUAGUAGGUGGGGUAACGGCUCACCUAGGCGACGAUCCCUAGCUGGUCUGAGAGGAUGACCAGCCACACUGGAACUGAGACACGGUCCAGACUCCUACGGGAGGCAGCAGUGGGGAAUAUUGCACAAUGGGCGCAAGCCUGAUGCAGCCAUGCCGCGUGUAUGAAGAAGGCCUUCGGGUUGUAAAGUACUUUCAGCGGGGAGGAAGGGAGUAAAGUUAAUACCUUUGCUCAUUGACGUUACCCGUAGAAGAAGCACCGGCUAACUCCGUG
rnacentral:rRNA from 1 species